rfam:Dipodomys ordii contig_60259, whole genome shotgun sequence.
GGUGGCUCAGUGUGAGAGUGCUUGCCUUGCAUGCAUGAGGCCCUGGGUUCGAUUCCUCAGCACCA